rnacentral:misc_RNA from 1 species
ACAAGAAAUUAAAAAGAAAAAAAAGGGAGAAAGAAGGUAAAUAGUAGCAGAAGUAGGACUCUACAAGGGCAGCAGAUCUCCCAUUCAUUCAGAUGAGUUCGAUUGAUUUUUCACCAUUGAUUUUUGAAUAUUUUUAAGUACUAUAUUUGUAAAAGUUAUGGUUAAAAUUUAAGAAUUUUUCAAUGGUUGGUUUAGAGAAAUAAAUUGUUGA